rnacentral:rRNA from 1 species
UACCAGCACCCCGAGUGGUCGGGACGUUUAUUGGGCCUAAAGCAUCCGUAGCCGGUUCUACAAGUCUUCCGUUAAAUCCACCUGCUCAACAGAUGGGCUGCGGAAGAUACUAUGGAGCUAGGAGGCGGGAGAGGCAAGCGGUACUCGAUGGGUAGGGGUAAAAUCCGUUGAUCCAUUGAAGACCACCAGUGGCGAAGGCGGCACUCUGGGACGGUACUGACGCUGAGACGCGAAAGCGUGGGGAGCGAACAGG